GCCGCGGCCGCAGACAUUGGCGGGGCUUCUGCUUCGCCCUUUUUCCUGGUAUUCUCGGAGCCCUUUCCUUCCUGCUUUUGGCCCUCAGCACCCUUUUUUUUCCUCCCCCACCGUAAUCUCUCCUUUUUUUUCCCCCUUUUUCACCCUCCCCUUUUUUGCAUUCACCCCCACUUUUUUGCUUUCACCCCCAUUUUCUUACUCUUCACAUCCCCUUUCGGUCCCUUCACCCCUUCUUUUUUUUCCCUUCACCCCCCGCCCCUUUUUUUUUCUCCUUCACCCCCUUUUUUUUAUUCUCCUUCACCCUUUUUUUUUCACUUCACCCUUUUUUUUUUCCCUUCACACCCCAUUUUUUUUCCCUUCACCUCCCCUUCCCCCCUCAUAAUCAGGUUGUAAAAGGCCUCAGAGAUAAAUGAGUCCAAACUCGAUGAAAUUCCUCUUCAUGCCCCGUAUUCUUCCCCUCUUAUCCUUGUUUUCUAUUCCCCCUUCACCUCCUAAUUUUUUUUUCCCAGAAUCACAGAAUUAAGUUUGCAAAGACCUCUGAGCUCAUUAAUGAAGUUCCCCUUCAUUCUCCCUUUCCCCCCCUUUUUUUUCCUGUCAUCCCUCACUUUUCCCCUUUCACCCUCUUCCCCCUCCCUUUUUAUUUUUCUUUACAUUUUGUACAUCUAUAAUUUUCCUUCCUCUGUGCAGGAGGUUGGGAGCGAGUCGAAACGUGUUAAUCACUCAUCUCCUCUCCGUUUAAAGUACCCAAAAAAGGGGUGUAAAUUGCCUAUAAAAAGGGGUGUAACUGGGUAUGUCUUAAAAUACCCAAAAAAAAAGGGCUCUAAAUCAUCUGGCUCAGGACAGACCUGGCUGUGACUGAGGUGCUCGGGACCUUUUUUGUGUAAAUAAUAACUAAGGGACAGAAAUAAUUCAACUCAAAACUCUUCCUGUGUUUGAGGUUACCAAGUCUAAGCUUUCUUGCAGCUACAGAUGAUUUUCAUUGGGUGGGGAGAUGUUUUCUCUGUUCAAGUUUGGGAGUUCUGCUUCAUAUUUUUAUUAUUUGGGUUGGUUUUUUUUUUCUCCUUCACUGAACUGUUAUUUCCAGAAUUUGGGAUUUUUAAUCCCUUAGGCAGGGCCUGGCUGUUGUGGUUUUGUUUCUAAGCCUUGCUGGUCUCUGAGCACGGUUUUAGACCCUCUUCCCACAUCCUGAGAGGAUUCCCAGCGUAAACUCAUGUCCAUCCUCACUUCAGCCUUUCCUCUCCUUCAUCCACAUCACAAUUGCUCCUUUUCAAAGCCUCUCACAGUGAACUUUUAAUUCCCAAACACUGAGGAAGUAGGUGAGAGAAUUGUUCAUCUUUCUAAUUGAAAUUUUCGUGCUGGUGGUAAAACUGGGAACAAAUAUUUUUUUAUUUUUUAUUUUUUAAUUUUUUUUUUUGUCACUGGUGAAAGAGGAAGUGUGUGAUGACAAUGAUGGUACCUGUGAAAAGCUGAGGGUUGUAACAACUGAUUUUUCAGGAUUUUCAUCCCUGAAAAUGUCCAAGGAUGGGGUUGGACAGGGUUUGGAGCACCCUGGGACAGUGGGAAGUGUCCCUGCCAUGGCAGGAAUGGUUUGGGAUUUACCAUCCAACCCAUCCCGUGAUUCCACAGAUCAUUCCAGCUCAGUGUUCAUUUAAAUCCUCUCCCCCUGUAAUUUCUUGGUGUGUUUGGUCUUUUGCAGAGUGUCUGGGUUGGUUUUUAUGGAGUUUUAUUGCGUCCUGGUUGUUUUUUCAUGAGCCUGGCGUCAUUUUUGUGAGGUUUGAUGAUGACUUUUUGUGCCCAAGCCAUAAACCCAGUCCUCAUCCCCUGCGGGUUUCACGCAGCUCUUGGAAUUUUUUAGGAUUUAGGAAAUGUUUGGUCUGACAGAGGUGAUUUGACCAGGACAACAAACCAUUCCAGCAGUUAAAUUAAACCAUCCUGGAAAACCCAGCUGUGCCAGGGAGAGUCCUUGCUGUGGAUUGGAGGUUGCAUCUCUUUGCAGCUCCACCAGGAAAAUGGAAAACUUGGGGAGGGGAUUAAACUUUGGAGACUGCCCAGGGAAGUGGUGGAAUCCCUGGAAUUGUUCAGAAUUCCAGCAGUUAAAUUAAACCAUCCUGGAAAACCCAGCUGUGCCAGGGAGAGUCCUUGCUGUGGAUUGGAGGUUGCAUCUCUUUGCAGCUCCACCAGGAAAAUGGAAAACUUGGUGGGAGGAUUAAGCUUCAGAGAGCUUUGGAAGUGGUGGAAUCCCUGGAAUUGUUGAGAAUCCUCUGGAAGUGGUUCCUGAGGCCGUGCUUUGGUGGUGCUGAGUUGAUGGUUGAACUCGAUGCUCUCAGAGGGCUUUCCCAACUUUACCAAUUCCACGAUUCCAUGAGCAGAGGCCGCUUUGCUCCCCAGGGAGUUUGGCCACCGUGAGGUUCAUCCCACCGGUUAAAUUGUCUGGAAUUCCCUGGACAGAAGCCCCCAUGCCUGGUCAGCUGCUCUGAUGUCCACCACAGCUGUCUUGGCAUGAGGAAUUCUUCACAUGUUGGGGUUUCAUCACUUUUCUGUCUCCCAGGAGCCUGGAUCACCUUUUUUCAGCCUUAAACCAGGCAAUUUAACUCCUGGCAAGUUCAGGCCUGGAAUAUUUCAGCCUUGUAGGGGAAACCAAGGAACUCCAGGAGGGUGGAGGACCCCAGACUGGGAGCACUGGGACCACUCUUCGUGUCCAUCUGCCUUCCAGGCCGGUCAAGCCCAACUCCUGCCAUGUGCAUGCACAAGAUCUGGGAAUAUUUCCAUUCCUUUUCCAAAGGAGGGAGAUUUCCAUGCAGUUUCUCUCUCUUGGAGGGUUUGGGAAUUAUUUUUUUUUUUAAAAAAAAAGUGUCUUCCAGGAAGGCAGCAGGGCACAGUGAACUCUGCUGUGCUCUUGAAUCCCUUUUACCAGGAAAAUUUAAUCCAGACUUUUCUACACAGGAACAUUUUGUGCUGUCAGGAGGAGCGGUGGGGUUGUGUUGAUGAUUUUCGGUGCAGGGAGUUCUGUGAAAUUCAGCCUUGGACUUUAUCUUCCUCAGGCUGCUUCUGGAGUUGAUCUGUGGGAAAAAAAAAACUACCACACUUCAGAUAUUUUGUGUUACCCAGUGCCCAAGAUACUUAAAAUAAUUUUAAACCCUUUUUUGGGGGGUUUUAAAAUAACUUCUGCUGCACAGUGGGGAUUUUAGUUGUACUGUUGAGUGCCCCGUUACCCUCUGGGGGAAGAAUCUUUUCCCAAAAUCCAUCCUAAACCCCCUGACACAGCUCCAGCCAUUCCCUUGGGUGAAGUGGCCCUGUGUGUGUUUAAAAGGGAAUCCAUCCUCUUAGGGUUUGGAAUUCAGCUUUUUAAUUUUCAUUUUAAUGCUUUCCCACAUUCCCACUGCUGGGUGCAGAUCCACACCCCUGCCCCGAUCCGUUUAUCGCUUAUUUCAGUGAUUAAAUUUGAAUGUCUGCUCUCGUGAAUCUCAUCAUCAGCUCGUUUUGCCCGUGAAUCCAAAACCAGGACUCUGAGGUUGCUCUGGCUUUGUUGUGGAUGAAUCACUUGCCAAACUCCGAGGAGGAACCCAAGAAGAAGUCCAAGAGGGAAUCCCUUCUGCUGCCAGAUGGAACCCGGGGAGCUGCAGGCUGUGUCGUGGUGGAGCUCGCAGCUCGUCCUGAUCUGCGCUGACAUUUUGAUGUCAAUGAAAUUCCAUCUUUCCCUCCUGGAAAAAAAAAAAAAGAAAAAAAACCGAGAUAGCUGUACAAAAACCCCUUAGGAUGGCAGGUGAAUUCCACCUCAGUAGGAUUGGGAAUUCCAGCAUCUCCUUUCCUUCCUGUUUUCCACCCUUUCUCGUGGACCGUGCUGCUUUUGCUGGGUUUUGUGCCAGAGGAUUGAAGCAGGAUCGCUAGAGCAUCGCUUUUGUUGUUAUUUUGGUUUGGCAGUUGUAUGAAUUAUUUUACCUGUUUGUGUGCUGCCUAUAAAUAAUAAAUGGGUUGCUCAGAUCCUGCA